AGCGAACGCUGGCGGCAGGCCUAACACAUGCAAGUCGAGCGCCCAGCAAUGGGAGCGGCAGACGGGUGAGUAACGCGUGGGGAUCUGCCCGAUGGUACGGAAUAAUUCCGGGAAACUGGGACUAAUACCGUAUGUGCCCGCAAGGGGAAAGAUUUAUCGCCAUCGGAUGAACCCGCGUCGGAUUAGCUAGUUGGUGUGGUAAAGGCGCACCAAGGCGACGAUCCGUAGCUGGUCUGAGAGGAUGAUCAGCCACACUGGGACUGAGACACGGCCCAGACUCCUACGGGAGGCAGCAGUGGGGAAUAUUGGACAAUGGGCGCAAGCCUGAUCCAGCCAUGCCGCGUGAGUGAUGAAGGCCUUAGGGUUGUAAAGCUCUUUCGCCGGUGAAGAUAAUGACGGUAACCGGAGAAGAAGCCCCGGCUAACUUCGUG
rnacentral:rRNA from 2 species